rnacentral:lncRNA from 1 species
UGACGAGGAUCGCUUGGGAAGAAUCUCUUGAGAGAGGCUCUGGAGAAGGGAAGCUCUUGGAGGACAAUCUCUAAGGAGGUCUCGCUGGAGCUCUCUCUGGUGAAGUCAGCUGAGAUGGAGCUGGCCUGGUGUCACUAGAAUCCUUGUUUAGGCAGACCUUGUGGGUACUGUCAUGUCCAUGGAUCCUAGCCCUGAAGAUGCUGCAGAACUGUACAGGACUGGAAAUUUCAGGUCUGAAAGAUAAUAGAUCAUUCCUAAGAACUUUUAUACCCAGAAGUCACUGGAAGGC